rnacentral:lncRNA from 1 species
CUAUUCUCAAAUAAAAUCAUUUGGUAAUUCAGCUAGCAUCCAUCGGUAAUGCUCGUCACAGGCUGCUGUUACAGAAAUAUAAUUUUUGCCCAUGGUGCUUUUGUCUUUAUGCCCUGCAAACGAGUACUGAAGAAGAAAAGAUUAGGGCCAUGGUCUCCGUUGAGGGAGAUUGAAAGCAUUACUUGACAUGCUGUUCUCGGGAGGAAAAAGGUAAUGAGAACUCAUUAAAUCUGACGGAGGUACAGAAGAAGCGAGGACGCCUCAGAUACUUUUUUUGGUAGCUGUGUUUAUCGCCUGGAAAGACUAAGACUCAGGAAAACAGAAAACCACGAUCAGCAUCCGUAGACACCCCCACCCCACUCUCAGCGUGGUGAGCUGCCAGAGGGGUUGCCAGAAAAUCUCGUCAUGGGUGAAUCUACAGAGGUCUCCUUGGGAUUCUGUGAUGCUCGCCUGCCUAUAAGAAUCACCAAAAUGAUCAAAGCAGUAGCCUUGGGGAUUAGUUCAGACAUGCCCGAGAUAAUGGAUUUAAUCAAGGACAUCUUCAGAUGUACUGCCUCCAGGACAGGGGACAGACACCCCUUGAUUACCUGCUUCACAUCACCUUUCAUGUUUUAUUGUUGGAAAUAGACCCAUUGGAGGAUCACCUCAUUACCUUUUGCAAAAAUGGAAACAGAUCAAGACCUGGAGAAUGCCAUUGUGAUCUGUGGUUCCGCCAGCUUCACGGAGGACAUCUUCAAGACAGUUGUGCCUCAACAGCCUGAAAUCAGCAAAGAUUAAACCCACCCUCCUUGUCUCUGACGCGCCUUAAAUCGGUGCAACCCCUCCAAAUUAAUGCGAAUUAAAACAUGCAUUGCCUUCCAACUUAAUUGAGUGCUUGCUAUGUGUGAAUCAGUGCACAAAAUGGGGGAGAGAAAAUUAGGGUGACAAAAGCAGGUGGAGCCUGCUUUUAAUGAAUUUACUAUUAGUUUCAGGAUGCAUAGUGUGUUCUUCUGUUUUUAAUUAGGUAUGUCCCUAAGACAAGAAACAAAUGAACAGAAAAGUGUGUUCUGUGAGUAUUUUCAGCCCCAUUAAUGAAAAAUAACAACAACAACAACACUCUAAUGUGAACGACUUGGGAUUUUGGAAAUUCUGUUUCUUUUGUUGUUCUUCAAGCUCUGAGAGAUAUGAUCCAUCUUAUUUUGUAUUAUUUUUGUAGUGCUGCGAUAGGAACACUUUUAUCCACCCCAUCAAUAUUCCAUAGGCUUUAGAGUCAUUAAUACAAUAUAGUUUGAGUUAAUUUGAAUUGAAUUCCAGUAUUUUCCUUUAGGUAUAGAUUGUCUGUUGGAAAAUAUAUUGAUUGCACAUUCCUUGGGGGUAGGAAGGUGAAUCCUGCCUGCUGUCUCUAGAGGGAUCUCUUUCCAUGCCCUGGGC